UACGGGGGGAGCAAGCGUUGUUCGGAUUUACUGAGCGUAAAGGGCGCGUAGGCGGCGCUGUAAGUCACUUGUGAAAUCUCUGAGCUUAACUCAGAACGGCCAAGUGAUACUGCAGUGCUAGAGUGCAGAAGGGGCAAUCGGAAUUCUUGGUGUAGCGGUGAAAUGCGUAGAUAUCAAGAGGAACACCUGAGGUGAAGACGGGUUGCUAGGCUGACACUGACGCUGAGGCGCGAAAGCCAGGGGAGCAAACGGG
rnacentral:rRNA from 1 species